CGCGUAGGUGGUCUGUUAAGUCGGAUGUGAAAGCCCCGGGCUCAACCUGGGAACUGCACCCGAUACUGGCAGACUAGAGUGCGGGAGAGGGAGGUAGAAUUCCACGUGUAGCGGUGAAAUGCGUAGAUAUGUGGAGGAAUACCAGUGGCGAAGGCGGCCUCCUGGCUCGACACUGACACUGAGGUGCGAAAGCGUGGGGAGCAAACA
rnacentral:rRNA from 1 species